UGGCUCUUGUAACGUUUACGUCAAAACUUCCGUCAAUUGUCAUCGAAUAAAAACAAAAAAGAGGCAAAUUUUCAAUUCUGCAUUUCGAAAUGUCGGCAUGGAUGAGCAGCAGUGAUUUCUCCAACAAGCUGGCGUGCCACCACACUAUGCCCUUCCUGUUCGAGUUUAUUUAAACCAAUUAUUUCCUAAGCGAUGGAUUGGGAGAAGAGGCCUAAUUGAUCGGACUGCAAUAUCACCAGAUUUGACUCUGCCAGACUUCUUCCUUUAAGUUCACACCACUAGACCAAAUACUUUGGAUGAACAAAAAUUCAGAAUCCAAGAAGAAGUUCAGCGAAUAAUUCUUGAUACCUUAGGGAAUUGUCAAAAAGAAUUUAAAAAUCGUUUAGGAGCUGUCCAAGGUGAGGACAACCUUCUAAAAGUAUAGAUAGUACCACUUUGUCUCAGUUGUGCACCAGUUAAUUGUGCAUUGAAAUUACAAACACCUUCAAGAAAGUUAUUUUGAUUAGUAAUAUAAUGACACCAACUAUGGUUUUCCUGUAAUCUAACUUUUGAAGACAAUUCCUCAGUUUAACAGGUAAUAGUUUAAUUUUUUAAUCAAGAUAAAAUUACAAUCUUUUUUGUGUAUCGGGUGUAUCAGCAACUUUUGGUAUCGAUUCAACUUGAAUCAGAUUUGAAUAGUAUUGAA